GUAAAAUAUCAAUAAAAUAAAGGACAUGUAACAUAUAUUGACAGUUCUAUUUACUUCAACUUCUGACAAAUCACAGAGUUUGGAUCAAGUAUCUCCAUGAACUGGUUUGCAUCUCAGACUCAGACUUUAUGAAACAAGUUUCUCUGUUGUUCUCUCAGGCUGUGAUUUCUUGUGGUGUACCACAGGGUCAAUCAGUCACCAGUCUGAGAACACCAGACCAAAACCAGCCACAGCAUUGACGGGGAGGGAGUCAAAGUCACUGACCACAAGUCAUCCAAGCCUAACAAAGACGAGUCAAGACAUGAAGACACGAUGGCUUCUGAUCAUUGCUGGGACUGAUUCAAUAUCUAAAAUAUUCAUAUUAGGAUGUGUCCAUUGUAAUUAGAGGAGGUAUGAAAUGUCCUCCAUGUUUCCAGGAUAAAGACUAAAUGUUCAGGUGAUCAAGCUUCCUUCUACUGUGACCUGCCUCGGUCUCACAACAGUGUGAAGAACUGAACCUGGACAUUCAGCAAACAUUUCUCUGAGGCAGAGCUGCUCUGGAUGCAGACAAAGCUUUUCUCUGGCCCCGCCCACUGACCUUCAACUCAACCAAUCAGAUUGUUUGUUUGAGGAAGUAAAAGCUCAAUCAGCUUGAUGUUGAGGAGAAGGUCUGUGCAGCAGAGAGGCUGUUUAGGUUUUUCAUUCGACUGCAGUGGAACAACACUGGUCAUCUGCUGUCUGUUUGACUUGAACAACUCCAAAGACAUGUUGCUUUACCUCUUUUUACUGUUCUCUCUCUUUAUAGCCCUGGGCUCCAUGAACAGCAUAAAUCCAGAAAGUACUGAAGAACAUGUUGCAGAGGGAGGAAACAUCAACCUGACCUGUAAAUAUGACGGUUCUAUCUACAACAUCCAGUGGUACCGACAAUACCAGAGAUCCAGACCAGAGUUCCUGCUCUACAUCACAGAGGGAGGAUUGAUUCAUCCAACUGAUUCUGAUUUCUCAGCUCACAUUAACAAAUCAGAGAAACGUGUGGCUCUGAAGAUCAUCUCAGCUAAAGUGGCAGACUCUGCUGUGUACUACUGUGCUCUGCAGCCCACAGUGACAGGAAACACCAAAACUCUGUACAAAAACCUUUGGAGCAAAGACAACACAAUACUCCACAACAUCCACUAGAGGGAGUCAGCCCUCAACAUGUAUCUUUGUCAAAGCAGUUUUAAGGUUUUCCUCAUCAUGCAGUGUCAACAGAGAGAAGUGACAAUCCAGAUCUAAGAGGAGACGGAGAGAUUCAGGGAGGAGCUAAGCUGUUACUGAACUAUAGAAGAGAGAGGAACUUCCAUAUUCAGCAGAGUUCAAUAC